rnacentral:rRNA from 1 species
ACGGGGCGCCAAGGCGCGAAAACUUUACAAUGCUGGCAACAGCGAUAAGGGAACCUCGAGUGCCAGGUUACAAAUCUGGCUGUCGAGAUGCCUAAAAAGCAUUUCAUAGCAAGGGCCGGGCAAGACCGGUGCCAGCCGCCGCGGUAACACCGGCGGCUCGAGUGGUAACCGUUAUUAUUGGGUCUAAAGGGUCUGUAGCCGGCCGGAUAAGUCUCUUGAGAAAUCUGGCAGCUUAACUGUCAGGCUUUCAGGAGAUACUGUCUGGCUCGAGGCCGGGAGAGGUGAGAGGUACUUCAGGGGUAGGGGUGAAAUCUUGUAAUCCUUGAAGGACCACCAGUGGCGAAGGCGUCUCACCAGAACGGACCUGACGGCAAGGGACGAAAGCUAGGGGCACGAACCGGAUUAGAUACCCGGGUAGUCCUAGCCGUAAACGAUACUCGCUAGGUGUCGGCCACGGUGCGACCGUUGUCGGUGCCGUAGGGAAGCCGUGAAGCGAGCCACCUGGGAAGUACGGCCGCAAGGCUGAAACUUAAAGGAAUUGGCGGGGGAGCACCACAACGGGUGGAGCUUGCGGUUUAAUUGGAUUCAACGCCGGAAAUCUUACCGGGACCGACAGCAAUAUGAAGGCCAGGCUGAAGACUUUGCCGGAUUAGCUGAGAGGUGGUGCAUGGCCGUCGUCAGUUCGUACUGUGAAGCAUCCUGUUAAGUCAGGCAACGAGCGAGACCCACGCCCACAGUUGCCAGCGUACUCUCCGGAGUGACGGGUACACUGUGGGGACCGCCGCUGCUAAAGCGGAGGAAGGAAUGGGCAACGGUAGGUCAGUAUGCCCCGAAUAUCCCGGGCUACACGCGAGCUACAAUGGUUGGUACAAUGGGUAUCUACCCCGAAAGGGGACGGAAAUCUCCUAAAACCAAUCUUAGUUCGGAUUGAGGGCUGCAACUCGCCCUCAUGAAGCUGGAAUCCGUAGUAAUCGCGUUUCAACAGAACGCGGUGAAUACGUCCCUGCUCCUUGUACACACCGCCCGUCA